GUAUAGUGAAGCCUUCCUGGAUCUUGGCUUUAGUCUGCAUGUUCUAGAAGGGCAAUGAGAGAUGUGGAAGACUUGAGAGGAUGUAAUGGAGGCAAAAAGUGGGGACCAACCACCCAAACACCCCACUGAGCACUUGUGCAUUUGACAUUGAGAUGUUCUCAGGGAUUUCUGGAGUCUCCUGAUUGAAAAAAGGUAAAAAGCAACUCAGACACAGGGGGAAGAUAGAAUCUCCUAGAGCUCCAUGAGGCGUGAGAACCUUGCUUCUGGGGCAGCAAACAGUCACCAUUGUUGAGGCGGGGCCAUGACCAGAGGUUGGACCUUCAUGGAGCGGCUCGGUCAAUUGUUGAACCUUUGAGAGGAGCUUGAAAUGAAACUUCUGACAAGCACUGCCCUAAGGUAAAAAGCAACUCAGACACAGGGGGAAGAUAGAAUCUCCUAGAGCUCCAUGAGGCGUGAGAACCUUGCUUCUGGGGCAGCAUUGCUGAGGCGGGGCAAUGACCAGACGUUGGACCUUCAUGGAG